ACAAGUCAAUGAUUUUUUUUUUCGUGGUUCAGAAUUAACCAGCAUGUUGGCUAAUCGGUUAGCCAACAUGUUAAGUAAUCGAUCAUGUCACAAGCAGGGUUAGAAGGCUAGAAGUCAGCAAAUUUUACUUCAGAUGCAUUAAUUAUUUUUGUGUUUAGUGUAUUUAGUAAAACACAAAUAAAAAUAAAAUAUGGGACCCAUCCAUGUGACGUUGUCAAACUGCUGAGCUAAGGCAUAUGAUCUGGUAGCUAGUUCUUUUGUUAUGUGGAGUAGCUGGUUUCUUCAAUCUGUGCCACAAGCUUGAAUCUUCAAUUCUUUUGCGCUGCUUGGGCUAGUUUUCAUUUUCAGUUUUUUCUUUAUCCUUCAAACUUAGACAGUGAGAGAGAGUUUUCUUAGCGAGUUUCCCCAUGGCAGCAGAAGUGGUGGUUGGAGCUUUGCUCUCUGCUUCCCUUGAAGUGUUGAUUAAGAGGAUGGCUUCAUUCGACGUCCUUGAAUUCUUUCAAAGAAAGAGGCUCAAUGAUAAGCUGCUGAAGAAGAUGAAGUUGAAGUUGCUGUCAGCCGAUGAAGUGCUGAAUGAUGCUGAAAAUAAGCAAAUUGAAAACCCAAAUGUGAAAAAGUGGCUUGAUGAACUCCAACAUGUAAUCUAUGAAGCACAGGACUUGAUGGAUAACAUCAACACUAGAGAUUUGGUGCGCAAAGUGGAAGGUGGAUCAUCUACAUCACUUAAGGUACAGAACUUAAUCUCAACUGCGUUUACUGCCAAUAAAAAAGUAAGGCAAAAAUUAAAGGAGAUUCUUGAUAGAUUAGAAACCAUUUUGAAGGAAAAAGAUCGACUUGGUUUGCAAAGUGGUGUUCGAAACAUAAUUUUACCAAGAACAACACCUGCAACUUCUUUGGUAGAAAAAUCUGGUGUUUAUGGCCGGGAUGCUGACAAAGAAGCCAUAAUGAAUUUUUUAUUAUCAGAUGUCGGAACAAGUAGCCAAAAGAUAUCUGUUAUUCCCAUUGUAGGCAUGGGUGGGAUUGGGAAGACUACACUUGCUCAGCUCGUUUACAAUGAUGACAGGGUGAAAAAAUGUUUUGACUACAAAGUAUGGGUUCAUGUAUCAGAAGAAUUUGAUAUUUUUAGAAUAACAAAAGUAAUUGCAGAUAGAGUCACUGGACAGACAUACGAUGGGCAAGACCUUGAUAUACUUCAAGUUAGGUUGGAGGAAAAAUUGAAAGGAAAAUUUUUUUUACUCAUUCUUGAUGAUGUUUGGAAUGAGGAGUAUACAAGUUGGGAUGAAUUAAAAAAACCUUUUGAAUCUGGAGCCUGUGGAAGUAAAAUCAUUGUGACGACAAGAAAUAAAGGUGUUGCUUCAGUGAUGCGCGAUGUUCAAUCUUAUCAGUUAGGAACAUUGCAUGGUGAUGAUUGUUGGAAAUUGUUUGUAAAACAUGCUUUUAACAAUGUACAUCAACCAUCUGCUCAUCCAAAAUUGGAAGAAAUCGGCAGGAAAAUUGUCCACAAGUGUCAAGGUCUUCCUUUGGCUAUAAAAUCGCUUGGUGGUCUCUUACGUCAUCAACUAAAUCCAGAAGAAUGGGUGAAAAUACUAAACAGUGACAUAUGGGAAUUGCCCAUAGAGAAAAAUAGCAUUCUUCCAGCUCUAUGGUUGAGUUAUUAUCAUCUACCUGCACAUCUUAAACAAUGUUUUGCUUUCUGCUCAAUGUUUCCCAAAAACCACAAAAUUGAUAAAGAUGAUUUAAUCAAGUUAUGGAUGGCUGAAGAUCUUAUACAACCCUCCCAAAGGAAGACAAUAGAAGAAGUUGGCGAAGAGUACUCCCAUGAAUUAUUGUCAAGAUCAUUAUUUCAACAAUCAAAAGGUUCAGGUCAAUCAAUUUAUUUAAGCAUGCAUGACCUUGUGAAUGAUCUUGCUGCAUUUAUUGGUGGGGAAUUCUAUCUGAGGUGGAAUGAUGGAGACUCCAAUAAGCCUUUAAGCAAGAUUCGCCAUUUGUCACAUUUCCGAGUAAGAGAUGAUCAUCAUCUGUUGAAGUAUGAAAAUUUAGUUGGAGCUAAGCAUUUGCGUACCAUGUUCUUGUGUUCAUCAUAUUAUUCUGAUGAUAUACAAUUGCAGAAAUCAUUCUUAACAUUAUCGGGCUUGAGAGUGCUAUCUUUAUAUGGCAAUCCUAUGUCGAAGUUGCCCGAUUCAAUUGGGAACUUGAAAUCUCUAAGAUAUUUGGAUUUAUCAUUAACUAAAAUCGAAGAGUUGCCGAAUACAGUUUGUACUUUGUACAAUCUGCAGACAAUGCUUUUGAGAAAUUGUUCAAUGCUAAAGCGGUUGCCAACCAACAUUGGAAAGCUAAUCAAUUUGCGUCACCUUGACCUUAAAGGCACAUAUCAUUUAGAGGAUCGCAUGCUAAUUGGAAUGGGCAAUUUGAAAGAUUUGCAGACAUUAAGUUAUAUUAUUUUGGGCAAACAUGGUGGUGGGUGUACCAUUAAGGAGUUACAAGGUCUACAACUUUUGAGAGGCAGUCUUCGUAUUUUAAAGCUAGAAAAUAUUGUGGAUGCUGAAGAUGUCGUGGUGGCGAAUUUGAAGGAUAAGCAGUACCUCAGUGACUUAGAAUAUGAUUGGACUUGGAGCUCUGAUUAUGAUGAUAAGUGCCCCCCAAAGCAUGAAGAGGUACUUAAUGGACUGCAACCUCACACAAACAUCAAGUUUCUAAAAAUUUCAUUUUACAGAGGGGAAAGAUUUCCAAAUUGGGUUGGUGAUUAUUCAUUUGGUAAUUUAGAACAGCUAAGCUUAUUUGGAUGUAACAAAUGUUGUUUGUUGCCGCCGCUUGGCCAGCUUCCAUUUCUCAAACAACUGGAGAUUGAAGGAUUUGAUAAACUGGAGAAAAUAAGUGAUGAGUUUUAUUACGGCAGGGGUUGUUCCAUGGUCACUAAGCCAUUUAGAUACUUAGAAUCAUUGCAAAUAGUUAAUAUGCGGGAGUUACAAGAGUGGUCAUUUAUUGGAGGGGAAGGAGUCGAGCCUUUCCCUAGUCUUAAGAAGUUAUGUCUAAGAUAUUGUCCAAAACUAUCCGGAGGCCUUUGCUUACUUGAUACCUUAGAAACUGUCAAUCUUAGAGGGUGCAACAAACUAGAGUUCCCGGGUAAGCAAUGUUAUGCAUCCCUUAGAAGGUUGGACAUAAUGUCAAGUUGUGAUUUUAUGACGUCCAUUCAUUUGGACUGCUUACCAAUGCUUAAUGAGCUCCUUUUGGGGGAUCUCCAAAGCCUGGAAUCCCUUACUUUCUUGGAACGACCAGCUUCUCCUUCAGAACUCAUGUUUCUAAGGUACAUGGAAUUACACCGCUGCCCUGAGUUUGUAUCAUUUCCCCAAGGAGGAUUGUCUGCUCCCAACAUGCAAGAAUUAUGGAUUGUAGGUUGUAACAAGUUAAGGUCUUUGCCUGACCGCAUGCACACUCUUCUUCCAUCUCUUCAAUCUUUGCGAGUAAUUUGUUGUCCAGAACUGGAGUCAUUUGGGGAAGGUGGAUUACCUUCUAGUUUAGAUAAGCUUAAACUGCACGGUUGCGAUAAGAUUUCCACAAGUGAUUUUCAGAAUUGCAAUGUCCACACACUCACCUCUCUUACAGAAUUAAAAACCGUUAUCAAAGAUGAAGCAGCAGAUUCAUUUCCAAAGGAGGGGAUGCUGCCAACAAGUCUCACCCAACCCUCCAUCCAAUCUUCUCCCCGUCUUAAAGGCCUAAACAUCAGGACCUUGUCCUUGAAGAGUGGUCAUAACGUACUGCAAUGAACUUUGGCUCAUGCUGCAGGUGGGGUUGCCAGAAUCUCUUAUCAAUUUGGUCAUCAAUCAAUGUGUUUACAUAAAAUAUCGAUGCCUGAGAGACAUAGGAAAAGAUUGGCAUAAGAUUUCUCAACAUCUGUAUACAUUUCACCCCUCACUUUUGUUCCUGCUUUAAUUUGAAAUAUUUAUUUAUUUCAUUAUCAUUUAGUGGUUUAGUCUGCAGUUCUUUGAAUUUCCACAACCUUGGCCUGCACUUCACCAUUUGAGAUGCUUCGCGUUAACAACUUGCCCCAAGUUUUGUCUAUUUUCCACUAGGAGGAUUGGCUGCUCCAAAUAUGGAUGAGUGUCGGAUCAAAGAUUGGAAAAUUUUGGGGCCAUUGCCUGAGAACAUGAACACACUUCUUCCACUCUUUGAUUUUAUAUAUCUGAUUAGUUGUCCAGAGCUUGUUUCAUUUCUGGAAUGUGCAUUGCCACCAUAUAUGAAUAGUCUCAAGGUUUACUGGUGCAUUAAGCUUUUCACCAACAGCUUUCAGCAGGAUCUGCAAAGAAUCAACCCUCUUUGCAUUCCUGGAGAUCAUUGGCGUAGAUGAAGAGCUGGAUUCAUUUCUGGAGGAGGUUUCUUGCUAAUCAUUGUGCUUGAUCUUCAUAUCGGAUAUCUUUCUCACCUUAAAUCUCUGAAUGGCAAGGCCUUAGCUGUACUUGACUCCCCCAAGAGCUUCAGCUGUUGCCUGAAGAAGGGUUGCCAAAAUCUCUUUCUGAUCUUGGUAUCUUUCAAUGUGAUUGGCUAGAACAACAAUAUCAGAUAGAUACAGGUGAAGAUUGGCUGACGAUUGCUCACACCCUUUAUAUUAUAGUGAUUUAAGACAUCCUCUGUUCUAUUCUGGUUAAUUCUCUGGGUAAUUCUCUAUUUUUCCGCACUAUUUCUUGUAACCAUUUUAGUUGUUAAACUGUUUACUGCUCGAGUAUUUUGAAAAAUAGACUUUAUAAAGAAGUUGAAGCUAAAGGGAUUCUAGAAAAAAAGUUAUGAAAUGGGUUUGUUUGGGGAACUCUGCUUAUUUUACAUGCUCCUAUGCUUAGUUUAUAGGUCAUUUUAUAGUUUCAUAUAUGCUAGACAUUUUUGUGUAAGUUUCAUUUGGAUUUCUAUUUAUUUACUUUACCAACGUCUAUAUAUACUUCCUCCUUGCUCUUGAAUGUAGUAACUUUUUUUUUUUUUUAAUAUAUUUUAUAUACUGUAUUUUCAUUUCAUGUACAUGCUUUUCAUUUCUAUAAUGUUUUUAUUUUGAUGCAACCCGCUUAAGCCUUAAUCAGUUUUAGUUUUAAAAGUAGUGGAAACCAAGGAUAUUACUACCAUGUAGCUAAUAUAUACUAAUUCACUUUUACUUAGGAAAGCUUUCAAAUAUUUUUUAAAUAAAUAGUAAUGACUAGUACUCUUCUUCCAUAAAAAAAUAAUAAUAAAUAAUAAUAAUAAUAAUAAUAACAACAACAACAAUGAGAUUAGUAGUUGAAGCAAACAAAUUAGCGAUAAAUCUUAUGGUUGUCGCUAGCAGUAACUUUUAGUUGUGAUUUUAAUUGUCACUAAGAAAUUUAUCACUUGAUCCUAGAUUUGUUGUGUUGAUAUGUAUUUUUCCUUUGCUUCUUUGUGGUUAACGUUUCUACUAGCAGAGUUGCAGUUUUCUUUUGGUUAGAACUCUUACACAAAAAUUUACUAGAAAUGAAGAGAAUGAGAAAGUUUAUGAAAUGCCUCAUGCUUCUGAAAAAAUAAGCUUUCAAAUUAUGGUUAAAUUUAUACUAUGAUUGUCUUGAAAUAUACCCUUUUUUUGCCUUUCCUUUUUUUUGUUUUUUUUUUUGUUUUUUGUUUUUUUGUUUUUUUUUUUGUUUUUUCAAGAUACCAAAUAGAAUUUUGCUUUUCAUUAAUAUCCAAGUUACUUGGAAAACAAGUUUUCAUAAUAUGCAUAUACUGUUCACAAUUUAUUUAUUUAUUUAUUUAUUUUUUCUGUUUCAUGGAUACCCACAUGGUUUGAUAUUUUCCACUUUCAUCUUUCAUGGGAUUAAACUUUAAGAUCUCUUCACGAUUAGUGGAUAUAAGCUCUCUGUUUUGAUCUGUUGGCCUAAAUUUUGGUGCUGGUUGAAGCUUUUUAUUUAUUUUUAUUUUAUUUGUUUAUUUAUUUUGUUUCCAGUAGAAUAUUUCCAGAUUGAUUGGUUCUUAGUGUAACUGAAUUUUAGAUGUUUAUGUGGGCUCAUGGUGCUGGUGUAGCUGUUGCGAUGGAUGAGAAAAGGAGGAUCCCCUGUUCAUUUCCUUUGGAUUUUCAUCUUAAUUUGAAACUAUGCAGAUUGACAAUUUUAAUGUGUUUAAUUUUUGAAUUUUUAUGAGGUUAUGUAAAUGAACUUUAUGCUGCCAUGUGGCUAAAUAGUUGUUCUGAUGAAUGUAAAGGUGAUUUCAUAUGGUC